UCGCGGCGCGAAGCGCUAAGUGAUCACUUCCUGUGUUGUGACAAUCCACCAUGAGGUGAAGCUACCUGGCGGGUCACAGCUCCGCGGUUGACUGACGAUGGACGGAGGUGCCUGGCGGUAGCUAGCCCGCCUGCCCGCCACCGUAGCUCCCCUCACAACUGGCGUGUGUCUGUGAACGUCUCUCUCUCUCUCUCUCUCUCCCCCUCGUACUCAUUAACAGGUCGUUAGCUGCUCAAACGGCCGAGCCGGACGGUCGCGAGGCGCUGCCCGCUGAAUGAGACCACUCACAACAAGCUGCUGCUGUUAGCGCAGCUAAGCUAACUGGACGUGAACCAGCGGAGCCGACCAGAUGAACGAUGACUCCAGCUCCAACGUCCUUCGCCUCUAUCCAUGCCGCCCAGGUCCUGGGCUAGAUCUACCCUGCCCUCCUCUGGCUGUCCCACUUCUGCCCUGCUACAGCUAUAGGAAUAACCCCCAGUUUAUACAGCAUGUAGCUAAUCCGGAGUAUGGGUCUGCCUUUGUGUUAGCUGGGCAACUGGAGCGUUCACACUGCAGCCACUGAGCAGGAAACGGCAACUUUUAUUAAGCAUGGCAGAGGGCUGCGGGGAGUGUGCAGAGAUGCUGGGUGCUACAUCACACAUCAGCUCUGCACUCGAUGCUACUGCCGGGGAAAACGCUCAGCUGCAUUGCUGGUAGCAGCGGAGAGCGAGAGGUCCUCUGCUGUAUAACAAAUGCCGUAUCAAAUCCCCCUGCACCACACCAUCCAAAUCCUGAUGCAUCUCGGUGAUGACCACAAGGAAAAAUGUCUUUUGCUCGAAAAACAAAAUCUUCUCAAAACAAAAAAUAAUCUGCAGCCCUCGCAGGGAACAACAAGCACCUUGAAUGCACAACGCUACAGCAUCUGUCGUCAUGCUUGUGCACUGUCUGUGCAGCUGUAUAUUACACCAGAGCCUUUCGUCCGUGCUCACGCAGUCACUGUGGUUAGGUAAUGCAGUUCGCGAGAGAAGAUGGCAGUGACUGCUGUCGUGCUGUGUAUCACAGCAGUCACAGGACAGAUGUGCAUCAAUGGGGGGUUUUUCCCCUCACAGAUGCAGUUACUGUGCAAACUGAAUGCGAGGCUGAGGGGAAAAUGAGAGUGCUGCGAUCAGCGGGGACUCUGGAUAUACCUAUAUAGAGGCUGCUGGUGGAUGCAAAAGCAGCAGAUGCGUCAGCACUGCAGACGAGGGGGAGGGGAGGAAGCUGAACCCGACAUGGCACUGUGAGCCUCUCGCUAUACUCUGAGGACGGAAGCGGCUCUUAUAUUUACAGUACCGGGUGUCGAGUCCUGUGGCCGUGUAGGUGAAACCAAUGUCAAACUAGAAGCCAUUUGAAUCCAUGUGCUGUUGACCUCAAAAGACAAAGUAGCAGGUGUCGUUAUGCAUGCAUGAACUCAUCGUGGAACAAAUGUCCUAUUGAGGUAGUGUUUGAGCUUCCGUCUCUUGAAAUACACUCGAGGAUCACACUUCAUCUUA